CACUCUAGACGAACUGCCGUUGACAAAACGGAGGAAGUGGGGAGUGACGUCAAUCAUCAUGCCCCUUAUGUUCUGGGCUACACACGUGCUACAAUGGCCGGUACAGACGGAGGCGAAGCCGCGAGGCGGAGCAAAUCCGAAAAAGCCGGUCUCAGUUCGGAUUGCAGGCUGCAACUCGCCUGCAUGAAGUCGGAAUCGCUAGUAAUCGCAGGUCAGCAUACUGCGGUGAAUACGUUCCCGGGCCUU
rnacentral:rRNA from 1 species